CCCUUAGAUGUUCUGGGCCGCACGCGCGCUACACUGACGAAUGCAACGAGCUUAUAACCUUGGCCGAAAGGUCUGGGUAAUCUCCAAAUUUCGUCGUGAUGGGGAUAGAUUAUUGCAAUUAUUAAUCUUCAACGAGGAAUGCCUAGUAAGCGCAAGUCAUCAGCUUGCGUUGAUUACGUCCCUGCCCUUUGUACACACCGCCCGUCGCUACUACCGAUUGAAUGGUUUAGUGAGGCCUCGGGACUGGCGCGCUCGAGUAGCAAUACACCUGCGCGCCGGGAACUUGGUCAAACUUGAUCAUUUAGAGGAAGUAAAAGUCGUAACA
rnacentral:rRNA from 1 species